UGACCCCGGCUCGAUCAGUUCAAUUCCUCGGAUUCGUAAUAGACUCCACAUCAUGCACUCUCCACCUCCCGGCUACCAAAAUUACGGCAAUCCGCAGGGAGAUCCGGAAAGUCCUUCGUCGGACUACCAUACCCCUACGAUUACUGGCACGGAUCGUAGGCCUUCUCUCCGCAUCCAUCCAGGCCAUUUUUCCCGGGCCCCUGCACUACAGGGCCAUGCAACG